GAACGNUAGAGUAGCAAUACUCGAGAGUGGCGAACGGGUGAGUAAUGUAUCGGAACGUGCCCAAUUGUGGGGGAUAACGUAGAGAAAUUUACGCUAAUACCGCAUACGAUCUAAGGAUGAAAGCGGGGGAUCGCAAGACCUCGCGCAAUUGGAGCGGUUGAUAUCAGAUUAGCUUGUUGGUGAGGUAAAAGCUCACCAAGGCGACGAUCUGUAGCUGGUUUGAGAGAACGACCAGCCACACUGGGACUGAGACACGGCCCAGACUCCUACGGGAGGCAGCAGUGGGGAAUUUUGGACAAUGGGCGAAAGCCUGAUCCAGCAAUGCCGCGUGCAGGAAGAAGGCCUUCGGGUUGUAAACUGCUUUUGUACGGAACGAAACGGUCUGCUUUAAUACAGUGGGCUAAUGACGGUACCGUAAGAAUAAGCACCGGCUAACUACGUGCCAGCAGCCGCGGUAAUACGUAGGGUGCGAGCGUUAAUCGGAAUUACUGGGCGUAAAGCGUGCGCAGGCGGUUAUAUAAGACAGUUGUGAAAUCCCCGGGCUCAACCUGGGAAUUGCAUCUGUGACUGUAUAGCUAGAGUACGGUAGAGGGGGAUGGAAUUCCGCGUGUAGCAGUGAAAUGCGUAGAUAUGCGGAGGAACACCGAUGGCGAAGGCAAUCNCCUGGACCUGUACUGACGCUCAUGCACGAAAGCGUGGGGAGCAAACAGGAUUAGAUACCNCUGGUAGUCCACGCCCUAAACGAUGUCAACUGGUUGUUGGGUGCAUUAGUACUCAG
rnacentral:rRNA from 1 species